UACGGAGGGUGCAAGCGUUAUCCGGAUUUAUUGGGUUUAAAGGGUGCGUAGGCGGUCUAUUAAGUCAGUGCUGAAAUAUCCCGGCUUAACCGGGAGGGUGGCAUUGAUACUGAUGGACUUGAGUAAAGUUGAGGUUGGCGGAAUUGACGGUGUAGCGGUGAAACGCUUAGAUAUCGUCAAGAACACCUAUUGCGAAGGCAGCUAACUAAGCUUAAACUGACGCUGAGGCACGAAAGUGUGGGGAUCAAACAGG
rnacentral:rRNA from 1 species